AGGGAACAGCCCCUCUACAGCACAGCACAGCACAGCACAGCACUGAGGAGACAUCCCUCUUCUCCAGCGGGGAGGCAGAUGGACGCUGCUCAGCGAUAAGAAGAAGACAUUUGGAACAUGACGGAUGGUGUCACUGGAGAGUUACUUGAACUCAUCUGUGGUGGGAGUACGCAGACAAUAAAACGUUUGGAUCCAUGCUGUAAGAACAAAACUCAGAACGUCCUCUCUCACUUUGGCUCUCUUUUGUGGAAGAGGCAGAAAUCAAAGCAAACCAAAACUACUUGCAAGGCCAGGUACCAUCAGAAGUAAGCAAGAUAUGAGUCAACCAACCGCUUUAAAGCUGAUGAUCUGUGUACCGAGAAGGAUGACGCAAGUCCUGCCCUGACCUGUACCAGGCACCCAUCUCUACCCAUCAACCCCCAGUUCACCCUCCUCCCCUUGCUAAUCCAGCAGAGGGGCGAUGGUGAGCAUGCUGGGCCACUGACAUGGGAUGAGAUAACUCACAGCUGGAGCCACAAACAGGGUCUCUCACAAUCACUAAGGCGCUGGAGAGAAGACAAAAAAAACCCUAACUCGAGUGAGCUGUAAAACUUAUACUCUCUCUGAGAAACCCUCUCCAUCUAGUCUACUACAGUGGGCCUCUCCUUAUUCAUUGUCCAGUGGGUAAGCAGAGCAGUGGUUCAGUUAACAAGAGGCAGAGAGGGAACAUUGAAACUGACCAAAACCACAGGAUUGCAGAAUGUCUGUAAAGUCUUUCCUAUCAAAACUCAAAAGGAAUUCCAAAAUAGCUGAGGGUGAUGAUAACAUGUUUGUUGAACUAAAACCUGUAGCCCUUCUCGUGCCGGCUGCUUUUCACAGAUGGUACGAAGGCAGAAGUUAUGAUUUACUCUCAAGUGCAUGCCAUAGUCUCCAUUAUCACUCCCUCACACAGGUCAGCAUGCGCACACAGACACACACAACGACAACCGUCCUUCCCAGAAGAGACAUUAGCAGUAUGAUUCGCUCUGUGGGGGCUAACAGGCGUGAGAGAUGGAUGAGUGACGAAGGUUGAUGGAGAGUGCACACACACACAUGCACACACAGAGUAGACAUGGUUGGGAUUCCUCAGCAGGUUCCCUCCCUCUCUUGACAUGUUGUUCAGGGUUUGAGGAACUCUCUCUCCACCCUGAGGACUCACAGCGGCCACUGUUAGCUUUACACAAAACCUUUCCAGUGACAAAUUAUAGUGUCAACUUAUCUGCACCCAUUCCUACACCCAGCUGUUCCACAUACUCCCUGGCCUCUGCCUAUAGCAGAGAAAACUUUACUUUAGAUGCAGGAAACAACUCAUAUGUCUUACUUACUUCUUACUUUAUUUUAAUGGAUGGGUUCUGUAGGAGUGGAGUGGGAGCCGAUGGCAUGAAAGGCACUUACGAUAAUGUUACAUAAGUCCCAUUGAAUUGCACGUAGAAAGGCUUACCUGUGUGUUCUGCUCCAAGGGAUAUUCUUGGCAAAUGUUCCCUGGUCUCAUGCAGAAAUAUGAGAGAAACAGAGCCAAAGAGAGAAAACAGAAUUAAAGACAAAGAAACAAGCAGAGAGACACAGGGAGGUACAGCAUAGGGAAGGAGUAAGUGGGAGAGAGGUGUGCCGUGAGUGUAUCAAAACAAAACCAUUCGCCUUUUUCAGGCUCAAUUGAACAUUAAAUCACUUUGGGCGAGGGAAAUAUGACACAGUGUUAUUUUUGCUGAGCUCCAAUGCAAGCACUCUUUAGAGGUAAAGACUGAGCGCAGGAGUUGAGCCAAGAGGACUAAAAGCGUUUGUUGUUUUUCAGCAUGUUGAUCCUGAGUGGAAUCUAACCUCUCUGUGCUGUUCUGUGCAACGCUGGAGGUCUGCGGCAAGGAGUCGCUCAAGGAUGAAGUUAAAGGCCCAGUCCGCAACUCUCGGGGGCCCGUCCCUGCCUCAUUAUUUUUGCUCCGGCGCUGCACGCUGUAGGAAGGAGCUGGAGAGGGUGUCAUCUGUGUCAGAUUUAUAAUUCAUGCGCCUGGUCGACUGCUCCUCACCACUACUCUGUGUUCCAUGUAAACAACGUGACGGGGGACAGCAGGAAGCUCGGGGACUAAUUCUGGAUGCUCCAUUGUGUUGUGAGCCCCUCCUGACCCAGCUCUGCUUCCAAUCAACGGCGCGUAGACCUCCUACGAUGCAGCUGCAUACAAACAUAGCGCUAAACACGUUCCACUGACUUCCAGCAACUCAUUUAUUAACAUUAUCAGCAAUUGCCCAGUUCACUUUGAGUCCAUUGACGCAGACUGGAGGCAGCACACACGGUCAAACACAGUGCAUUACCACACUGAAUCAUUCUUCCAGAGUUUACUCAAAGCCACAAGACCAAGGCUGCUGAAUACAGAUGGAGCUGUAGCGAAUUACUGCUGCCCAAACUGCUCCAACCUCGAGCUGAACUCCUCACUUUUCAGCUUUUUAAGGUGUCUUAACAGUAUUAUCUAUGCACAAGUUAAUUGGGAGACAUGGAAUUUGUGUUAAAAUAUGCUUAUUCAGCUCCUCAAUAUAAUGUAGAAGCACUUGAGCUGCCUCCCAUCCUCAUUGUAAUCAGCGUGAUAUAUUAAACACAACCUGCAAUGCCAGAGGUCAUUAAUUCAGCAAAUGAAUGUGAUAAUUAGCGAACAUGUUCAAGUCAACAUACUUCACAUGACUGCUAUUAACAUAAAUGGAUCUUAAAGCAUUAA